rnacentral:rRNA from 1 species
CUUGGUCAUUUAGAGGAAGUAAAAGUCGUAACAAGGUUCCUUCACCCUAUGGAAGCCUUGAAUCAUUAGUCCGACGAUUAUUGUUGGGCAACACUUGUCUGUUGCUGGCAUCUCGUUAUAGUUAUGAGUACCAGCAGUCGCUAAAGCGAUUCACAGAUCAAACAUAAGUGGUACACCAAAACCCCCCUGUAGAGAAUUUAUUCUUUAGGGAAGUGUCCUGGGUGUAUGUUGAUAUGACCGGUCUCUCUUUUAACUAAGAUAGAAUCCAUGUUCCGUAGGUGAACCUGCGGAAGGAUCAUUACCGAGUUAAGGUCUUUAUGGCCUGACCUCCAACCCUUUGUCUAUUAUACCAUGUUGCUUUGGCGGGCCCGCCUUUCGAAGGCCGCCGGGGGCUUUAUCGCUCCUGGCCUGUGCCCGCCAGUAGCCAUCUUAAAUUCUUUUGAUAACUGUGUCGUCUGAGUCCAAAUAUCAAAUCAUUUAAAACUUUCAACAACGGAUCUCUUGGUUCUGGCAUCGAUGAAGAACGCAGCGAAAUGCGAUAAGUAAUGCGAAUUGCAGAAUUCAGUGAGUCAUCGAAUCUUUGAACGCAUAUUGCGCCCUUUGGUAUUCCGAAGGGCAUGCCUGUUCGAGCGUCAUUAUCAACCAUCAAGCCUAGCUUGUCGUUGGACCUUUUGUCGUCUAGUGACAGGUCCGAAAGAUAAUGAACGGCGUCACGGCGACCCUACAUGCAACGAGCUUAUAAAAUAGCACGCAUAUGGUGGUCGUCCGGGCCCGGUCGUCACCCUUUUAUUUUCUCCAGGUUGACCUCGGAUCAGGUAGGAAUACCCGCUGAACUUAAGCAUAUCAAUAAGCGGAGGAA